rnacentral:lncRNA from 1 species
AGUAUUCUGACUCUAGAGCCUUCGGUUUUAAGCAUUACACUAUAUUGUCUGUUAUGUUGGAGGUAAAAUAUGGUGUAGCAUUGUUUUAAACUUGCAUUUCUUGGGGACGCCUGGGUGGCUCAGUGGUUGAGCAUCUACCUUUGGCUCAGGGCAUGAUCCUAGAGUCCUGGGAUCGAGUCCCACAUCAGGCUCCGUGCAUGGAGCCUGCUUCUCCCUCUGCUUCUGUCUCUGUCUCUCUCUCUCUCUGUCUCUCAUAAAUAAAUAAAUAAAAUCUUUAAAAAAAUAAAAAAAUAAACGUGCAUUUUUUAAGUUCUGUGGGUUUUUUAUUAUUUUGCAUAUGUUUAUGAGCUUUUUUAUUUCUUUUUUUUUUUCCCCUAAAAAUAACCUUCUCUGUCUAUUGCCAUUUGCUUUUGGGCUGUUGAUUGUUUUUGCUAAUCUGUUCAUUGAACUCUUUGUAUAUUCAGGAAAUUAGUACUUUUGUCAAACAUGUUGCAAACAUUUCCUGCCAGUGUAUCUGUCAUUUAAUUUUUUUGUUUGUUUGUGGCCUUUUUUUUUUCUUUUCCACCAUGGACAUGUCUUUAAUAUUUAUGUAGUCAAAUUUAUUGCUCUUUGUUUCUUUGCUUCAGGAUCUUAUCCUUUGAAUGGCUUUUUGGGUUUUGUUUUUGUUUUAAGAUUUUAUUUAGAUAAAAUUUAUUUAUUUAUUUAUUCAUGAGAGAUACAAUGAGAGAGGCAGACACACAGGCAGGGCGAGAAACCGGCUCUAUGCAGAGAGCCUGAUGCAGGACUUGAUCCCAGGAUCCCGGGAUCAUGACCUGAGCCAAAGACAGACGCCCAAUCGCUGAGCCACCCAGGUGUCCCUGAAUGGCUUUUUGUAAAUUCCAAUGUUUAAAAAAAUAAUUCAUGGGCAGCCCCGGUGGCUCAGAGGUUUAGGGCCACCUUCAGCCAGGGGCGUGAUCCUGGAGACCCGGGAUCGAGUCCCAUGUCGGGCUCCCUGCAUGGAGCCUGCUUCUCCCUCUGCCUGUGUCUCUGCCUCUUUCUCUCUCUCUGUGUCUCUCAUCAAUCAAUAAAUAAAAUCUUAAAAAAAAGAAAAAACACAAGUUUAAAAAUAAUAAUAAUAAUAAUGCAUGCAGUUUGUUUUUAUAUUUAUAUUUUUGUUCCCCCUAGAAUUUAUUUUGGUGACUAGACUGAGAUCAGGCUCCAGAUGCCUAACUAGUUGUCUGAGCAUCAUUCAUGGAAUAAACCAUCUACUCCCCUCUGACUUGAAAUGCCACCUUUAAUGUAAUUAUUCCUUAGUUUAUCUGGAUCUGGGGGAUCCCUGGGUGGUUCAGUGGUUUAGCGCAGCCUUCAGCCCAGGGCCUGAUCCUGGAGUCCCGGGAUCGAAUCCCACGUCAGGUUCCCUGCAUGGAGCCUGCUUCUCCCUCUGCCUGUGUCUCUGCCUCUCUUUCUCUCUAUGUCUCAUGAAUAAAUAAGUAAAAAUCUUUAAAACAAAAUUUAUUUGGAUCUGUUUCUGGAUCCUCUAACCCAUUGUUCUUGGGAGAGAGGUGCUUAUUUUAGGUUGUCUCUUUAAAAUCCAAUCCUGGCUUGGUCCUGUGUGAAUUCUUUAGUUAGAAUUUCAUAAACACUAGGAAAUUGUAGAUCAUAAUAACAGACGAUUUCAAGCUUCUAAUAAAACUGUAUUCAAGUUUAGUCUUUCUUUAGAUUGGUUGCCUUCAGGCACCAGUGAUGAUGGUGAUGAUGGUCUUUCAUUAGACCAGAUUCAACCUUUUCAAAGUUGGAAAGCCUCAUAAAGGUCCCAUUCACAAAACAUGCCUCAAGAUAUUCUCAUCUUUGGCUUCAGUUCUCUGAUGCCUGAAAUUAGACCUCAGGAAAUCUUGUUUUUUGGAUUAUGAUCAUCUGCAUUGAAUUACAAGUGUACUUUGUUACCUAUAGGUAGUGUAUAAAUUGUACCUCAUCGAGGGCAACCACCUGCAUGAACUUAGGAGUCACACUGCCUGGUUUAAAUUCUAGCUCUGCUGAAAUGUGUGACCUUGGACAAGUGACUUAAUGUCUCUCGUCUCAAUUCCCUUAGGGUGUGAAAUGGGGAUAGUCUUAGUUGUCUGUGAGCCUUAAACAUUUGUGACAUGCCCCAGAGGAUACCGAGGCAUAGUGAGUGCUCAGUACUUUUGGCAUCACUCAAGACCACCCAGUAAAAAGGGGUACUUACUCAGGUUAUCUUAAACAGAAAAGGGGGAAUUUAUUAUAAAGAUAUAGGAGAUUUAUAACAGAUCCCAAAAGUAAGUAUAGUUUGGGCCUUACAGGUUCCUACAAUGUGGAAGGUAGAAUGUGGUCAGAAAUAGAGAUUUUUUUUUUUUCCAUCUGUUUUUCACUGGAGUGUUUUAUUCUCUGCAAGCCAGCCAGCAUGAUUUGUUUCCUAGCUGGCAACCAUCACCCUUGGAUAUCUAAGUUGGGCUUGUACCUUUUUUUGCAAACUAGUCAGUCUUACUAAUGUCAUAGAGAAUGAGAAGGAGGAAAAGAAUAUUGGUCAGUUUGAGUGGAGAAAGACCAUAGAAGAUAAAGGUUUCCUGCUUUUGCUUUGAACCAGUGGAUCUUUAAAAAAAAAAAAAAAAAAAAAGUAAUAACUUUCCAACAACCAGUUACCAGUUUUUGUGUAUUUUUUCAAAGGUUGUAUGCCUAUACAAGAAAUAGAAAUAAUAAAUAGAAACAUAUAUUUUAUUCAUCCCUGUUACCUUUUACACAAAUUAUAACAUACCAUGCUACUUACAUUAAGAUUAAGAGAUAUAUUUUGGGAGCACCUGACUGGCUUGGUCAGAGCAUGUGACUCUGAAUUUCAGGGCUGUAAGUUUGAGCUCCACAUUGUGUGUAGAGAUUACUUAAAAUCUUAAAAAAAAAAAUAUAUAUAUAUAUACACACACACACACACAUAUAUAUAUUGAAUAGCAUUACAUAUUAGUGAGUAAAGAGCCUUCUUAUAGCUGGGUAGUAUUAUGCAGAUGAUAUGUUAGACUUUUUUGUUUUGUUUUGUUUUUUAGUGUGUUACACUUUAAUCAGUAUCCUGUUGUUGAACAUUUAGUUGUUGAAACCAUGCAGAGAUGAAUAACUUUGUACAUGUGUUGUUUUGCAUCUUUGUGAGCAUACUUGUGGGAUAAAUUUGUAGAAAUGAAAUUAUACAAAGGGUAUUACAUUUUUAAGUUACCUCUACACCCAACAUGGGGGUUGAACUUACAACCCUGAAGUCUAGAGUUGUGCACUCCAUCCUCUGAGCCAGCCAGGCACCCAAAGGAUGCUGCAUUUUUUUUUUUUUUUUAGAUUUUAUUUAUUUAUUCAUGAGAGACACAGGGAGAGAGAGAGAGGCAGAGACACAGGCAGAGGGAGAAGCAGGCUCCACACAGGGAGCCUGAAGUGGGAUUCAAUCCCCAGGAUCAUGCACUGGGCUGAAGGUGGUGCUAAACCGCUGAGCCACGCGGGCUGCCCAGGUGCUGCAUUUUCAUAGACAUUUCCCAGUUGUCGUCCAAAGAGGUUACAACCCCUCCAGCCACGUGUCAAAUUCUCUGGCAAGUUUCGGAGUCUUGAUAGAGUCAAUUAGAUCUCUAAGUUGUUUGCUUUCAGCCCAUACUCCUUCCCAGAUAUUAAAGGGUUCUAGAACAACUUCUCCCUCAAAAUUUGCAUUGUUAAAAAAAACACAUUAUUUGGUGCUUUCUAAUUUGUAACAGCCAAAAGUCAGCAACAUGUACUUCUGACCAAGUUACUAGCCCAACUCUGAACAAUCCCUGUUCCGUGGCUUCUGUAUAUUCCCUUAGAGUUCUACACACAGUACAGUUCUGUACCCAGCAAGCAGGAAAGAGAUGGAUGGCUGCAAGUACAGAAACUACUUCAAAACUUCUCUAUAGAUUACGAAUUUCCUUUUUUUUUUAUUGUGAAUUUCUGAUUCUAUUUUCUUCCCCUCUAUUGGGAACUGCUAUUAUAUCUCCCACACACACAGCUUAAAAGAAGAAUAUUCUAGGGAUCCCUGCGUGGCGCAGCGGUUUGGCGCCUGCCUUUGGCCCAGGGCGCAGUCCUGGAGACCCGGGAUCGAAUCCCACGUCGGGCUCCCGGUGCAUGGAGCCUGCUUCUCCCUCUGCCUGUGUCUCUGCCUCUCUCUCUCACUGUGUGCCUAUCAUAAAUAAAUAAAAGUUUAAAAAAAAAAUUAAAAAAAAAAAA